UGAAUACGAGAUGCUACGGCGUCGAAGCAGUCUAUGUCAUACUUCCAAGAAAAGCUUGCACUGUCAUAAACAAAUAAUGCCUGUACCAUAACCGACACAGGUGGGUAGGUAGAGUAUACUAAGGGGCGCGAGAUAACUCUCUCUAAGGAACUCGGCAAAAUGACUCCGUAACUUCGGGAGAAGGAGUGCCUUAUUUAUAAGGUUGCAAUAACAAGACCCAAGCAACCGUUUAUCAAAAACACAGGUCUCCGCUAAGUCGUAAGACGAUGUAUGGGGGCUGACGCCUGCCCAGUGCCAGAAGGUUAAAGAAGUUGGUUAGCAUUAGCGAAGCUGAUGACUGAAGCCCUGGUGAACGGCGGCCGUAACUAUAACGGUCCUAAGGUAGCGAAAUUCCUUGUCGGGUAAGUUCCGACCCGCACGAAAGGCGUAAUGAUUUGGGUACUGUCUCAGAGAGGGACUCGGAGAAAUAGACUUGUCUGUGAAGAUGCGGACUACCUGCACCUGGACAGAAAGACCCUAUGAAGCUUUACUGUAACCUGAAAUUGAAAUUGGACUUUAUUUGCGCAGUAUAGGUGGGAGGCUUUGAAGAUAUUCUUGCGGGAAUGUUGGAGCCAUCAGUGAGAUACCACUCUUGUAAUGUUAGAUUUCUAACUUUGUAUCAUUAUCUGGUCAAAGAACAGUUUCAGGCGGGCAGUUUGACUGGGGCGGUCGCCUCCUAAACGGUAACGGAGGCGCACAAAGGUUUCCUCUGAACGGGUAGAAAUCGUGUCUAGAGUGUAAAGGCAUAAGGAAGCUUGACUGUGAGACCUACAAGUCGAGCAGGGACGAAAGUCGGUCUUAGUGAUCUGACGGUGCUGAGUGGAAAGGCCGUCACUCAACGGAUAAAAGUUACUCUAAGGAUAACAGGCUGAUCUCCCCCAAGAGUUCACAUCGACGGGGAGGUUUGGCACCUCGAUGUCGGCUCAUCGCAUCCUGGGGCGGUAGUACGUCCCAAGGGUUGGGCUGUUCGCCCAUGAAAGCGGUACGCGAGCUGGGUUCAGAACGUCGUGAGACAGUUCGGUCCAUAUCCGGUGUAGGCGUUAGAAUAUUGAGAGGAGCCUUCUCUAGUACGAGAGGACCGAGAAGGACACACCUCUGGUGUACCAGUUAUCGUGCCAACGGUAAACGCUGGGUAGCUAUGUGUGGAGCGGAUAACCGCUGAAAGCAUCUAAGUGGGAAGCCCACCUCAAGAUAAGUAUUCUCAUC
rnacentral:rRNA from 1 species